UACGAAGGGUGCAAGCGUUACUCGGAAUCACUGGGCGUAAAGCGUGCGUAGGCGGUUGAUUAAGUCUGCUGUGAAAGCCCUGGGCUCAACCUGGGAACUGCAGUGGAUACUGGUCAGCUAGAGUGUGAUAGAGGAUGGUGGAAUUCCCGGUGUAGCGGUGAAAUGCGUAGAGAUCGGGAGGAACACCAGUGGCGAAGGCGGCCAUCUGGAUCAACACUGACGCUGAGGCACGAAAGCGUGGAGAGCAAACAGG
rnacentral:rRNA from 1 species